rnacentral:rRNA from 1 species
UUUGCCCUACGGGACGCAGCAGUGAGGAAUAUUGGUCAAUGGCCGAGAGACUGAACCAGCCAAGUCGCGUGAAGGAAGAAGGUACUUAGUAUUGUAAACUUCUUUUGUCGGGGAACAAAGGCGGAGACGCGUCUCCGGAUGAGUGUACCCGAAGAAAAAGCAUCGGCUAACUCCGUGCCAGCAGCCGCGGUAAUACGGAGGAUGCGAGCGUUAUCCGGAUUUAUUGGGUUUAAAGGGUGCGCAGGCGGGAGAUCAAGUCAGCGGUAAAAUUUCGGGGCUCAACCCCGGCCGGCCGUUGAAACUGG